CAGUAUAGCAACAUUCUUCUGAAAUAAAGGAAAUCCUGAAAAAAUGGACAGAACUACAAACAUAUGUAGAGAAGACCACCCAGACAGAGAAAAAGCCAAUCAUUCCAUUCAACUGCUUAAUGACAAUGUCAUGUCAUACUACAGAAUAGUGUUAAAGAAAAGACAAACAGACAAUCAGACCAGUUUUUAGUUCUGAAAAGGUUGAGACCUAGUGGCCUACAGACUCUCCCAAGGAGAGAAAGAACACCAGAGAGCCAGAUUCCUGAUGUUCUUAUUGGAAAGGGACUCUCCUUCCCAACAAUAACCACCUUCCAUUUUAUCCUCCCUUCCUGCAAGCCAAAGAUGUCUCCUUGAAUGAUCUCAGAUUCUAAGAAGUCUGGAAGUCAGAAAUUGACAAAAAGUACUUUGAUUUCAAGGAGUGAACUGGCGCUGAGCAUAUUGAAGGAUCUCUGGCUCAUUAAGAAGAGUAAUUUGUACUUGCAUUUCAGAUGAAGAGACUUCUGUUAUCAUGUAGUUGUAACACGAUGGGAUGGUGAUAUGUAACUACAGUUGUCUUCCCAACUGUGUCAACCCACAAUAUUAGCUUUUGGGCUUCUUGAGAUUUCUUUUUUGCAUGGCAAAUUACCCAUGAAAUACAUUGACCAAACAGGAUGUGAUGAAGGAAGAAAGGAACUCUUUGUGUGCAUUUUGGAUCUAAAAUGUGGCAGGGGUGAUGCAAUGAAGCUAUUUGGGAAAUGGCAAAUCAAGAGAAGACAGAAGAAUUUGUGGGAUUGGAAGGCCCUUUAUGAUUUGUCACAACCUGGGCAGGAAGCUCCUGGUUUCUGGAGCAAUAAAGAAAACAGUGCAGGCACACAGCUCUCACCAGAAAUGUGGAAACAUUCCAGGUUCUUAGUAGAGAUACAUCUCACACACAGAUUCAUACAAUCUAAAGUAAUAAAUAUUUUAAUGUUUAAUAAGAUAAACCUGAAAUGUGUACAACCAAUUCCUCAUGUGGGCUUGACAUUGCAACACAGAUUGAAGAGAAUACUCUGUGACUCCUUUAGCUCAUAGGAUAGAAAAAAUAUGGUUGGGGUUUCAGGUCCCAACUGGACUAUUUGGGGAAUAGAGAGAAACUAAUCUCUCUGAGAGAAGAAAGAUGAUAAAAAUCUUCAUCACAAAGUUAUUGUGAGGAUGACACGAGAUAAUGUAGGUCAAACUACAAAAUAUUUAGAGAUGAGUGAUUAGAAAUAGUUUGUUUGAACAUCUGAGAUGUUUCAAUGACUUUCCAGCCUCUAUAAUAUAAGCCUCAGUCACCAGAAGCCCUGAUUCUCCAAGCUUCGAGGCCCAGGUGCUAGUGCUGCCUGCAGGACCUGGAAGAGUCACCUUUUAUGAGACAGGACUGAGGGAAGCACUGGACCCAUCCACCUGCCCACAGCCUGCAGGCUUUUCAAAUUGUGGAGGCUGUGGGAGUAGAGCAAGCUUGGCCCUCACAGGGAGCAUCUUUUUUAACUGUGUGCUUACUGGAUGCUAAAGCCAGGCUGGAGGACAGUUUACUUAGGUCAGUGAAGGGGCGUGAUUUCCACUUAUCCCUGGAUGCAUGCAUUGAUAUAUUCUUUUUUUGGUACCAGGGGGUCAAACUCAGCACCUUGCACUUGCAAGGCAGGCUUUGGAACUACUGGCUUAAUCCCUGGCCCUGCAUGUAUCUAUAUAGCUACUCUUUUAUUUUGUUUAGAUUUAUUUAUAUAUUUAUUUAUUUAUUAAGUCAGGAUCUGGUUAUGUAGUCCAGGCUGGCCAUAAACUCACUAUGUAGCCCAGGCUGGCCUCAAAGUCUUGGGGAACCUCCUGCCUCUGCCUCCCAAGUGCUAGGAUUAUAGGUGUGCCCUACCACCAGGUAUACCCACUCUUUUAAGUUACUUUAAGUCACCUCAGGAUAAUGACUAUAAAUACAAAUCCCUUUCCAUGAGCUGCUUUUCAAUGAGAUAUUUUUGUCAUUUGUAUCAAGGUUUUCAACCCAGCAUGGUGAGGAGUUUGGCGUUGCUCCUUCUGACACAUUCCUCCCUCAUCCUUUUCUGAGCCAGGGAUUCUGAUUACUGCAGAUGUAUCAUGCAGGUCCUGCUCUCCACAGCUUUCACUGGGGCUUGGCCAAUGGACACAGCAGGAAAAGAGGACAAGAGAGAGCACCUAGGGUCUUGAUUCCACUAACUCCUUCCCUGCCCUCCAACAGUUUUAGCAGUAACCGUAUUCCUUGUCUUAGUCUGUUUUGUGCUACUCUGUCUUAAUGUCAGAACAGAUAAUUCACAAUGAACAAAAAUUUAUCACUCAUGGUUCUGGGAGGUGGGAAGUCUAAGGUCCAGGGGCUGGCAUCCCACAGCAGAAUAUAGAAGGACAAGACAGCAAGCAUUGAGGAACAAGGGAGGAGAAAGGCAGCCAAGUUUGCUUUUAUAACGAACCUACUCCCACAAUAAUGACACUAAUCAUGACCUGAUCACCUCAAGACAGAGAGAGAUAGAUAGCCAGGGAGAGGAAAGGGAGUGGAACUUACUUUUGAAUAACAAAACUACUCCCACAAUAAUGAUAUUGUCUUAGUCACUUUCUCAUUGCUGGGACAAAAUACCCAGCACCCACAUCUUAAAAGGAGGAUAGGGUUAUUUUGGCUCAUGGUUUUUAGACAAUUCAGUCCAUAGUCAACUGGCUGCAAUGCAUGGAGGUCAUGUUAGAAGGUUCUGGUGGAUGCAAGCUGCUCGCAUCACUGCAGCCAGAGAGCAGAGAGAGAAGGGAGGAGUCAGGGAGGGAGAUGGAUCCUUCCAGAUUGCAGUCCCAGUACCUACCCCCAAACAGACCCUGCCUGUACUUUUGAGUGAAGGACCCUUGUUAGCAAGACAGACUCCAUAUUGCUGCUUGACCCACCUGCCUACCCUUUAGAUGAACUCAGAAGGAGGAAGCUUAAAAACCUCCUCCCCUUAGAAAGUCUCUUUAGAAAUAACAAUCAACUAUUGUUUUACAAAUGUUCUAACAGCAGGACGUUCUGCUUCUGUACCUUUUGCUUGUUUUACUAGUUCUAUCCCAUAGAGGGCCGUAGAACCUGCUCUCCUCAAAGGUGUAUAAAACAUGUUUGUCAACCCCCAGUUGAGGCUUGAGUCCGAUGCUCGGCUCAGGUCCUGGCUGGUAAUAAACUCCUAUGUGGAUUUAAUAUUGGUCUCUGGUUGGUUCUCUCUCACUGGGUGCAACAUUGAGUGAGCAUACAAAUCUUUCACUUCAGGAAAUUUAUUCCUAAGUAUUGUAUUUUUUGGAUAUUGUUAUAGAUGAAGUUAGCUUUUUUAUUUUCUUUUCAGAUUGUUCGUUAUUAGUGUAUAGAAGCUCAAUUUAUUUUGUGUAUUGAUUUUGUAUCCUGCAAAUUUGCUGAUUUCAUUGAUUUGUUGGGACAGUUAUUUUGUGGGAUAUUUAGGGUUUUCUACAUAUAAAAUUAUAUCUUCAUUUUCCAAUUUGCUUGCAUUUUGUUUCUUUUUCUAAUUGCUCUUCUUUUAGCUUAAUUUCCCUGGAUAAAACUUCUAGCAGCAUGUUAAUAGCAGUGGUGAAAGUGGCCAUUCUUUUCUUAUUACUGACCUUAGGGGGAGGUUUUCAUUCUUUCCCAAUUGAUAAUAAUGUUCUCUGUGGGUUUUUCAUGUAUGGCUUUUGUUAUAUUGAGGGGGAUACACUUCUUUCUGAAUGGUCUGCAUGGAUGACCUUAUUAACUGUACAGAACCCUGUGAAACUGGCAUUAAAAUCCCUCUUUUGUCAGAUGAGAAAACUAAGACAUGAAGAACUAUGUUCUUCCCAUACAUUAAAUUUCUGUAGUUUUUGUUUUUACAUGUAGCAUGUCUUUAUUAAAACAAUGAUUCUUUUUUUUUUUGGUACUGGGGAACGAACUCGGGACCUUGUGCUUUCGAGGCAUGCGCUGGAACCACUGAGCUAAAUCCCCAGCCCAAAACAAUGAUUUAUUAAGUUAUAUGCUCACUUCCCUGUACUCCACAGAAGGUUGCCUGUACUGCCCCAAAACACAACCUGAAUGGAAAUCUUUGUCUCAGGGUCUGGACCCAGGGGAACCAAACUAAGACCAAGCUGGGUGUAAUACCAGCACCCUGGGAGCUAGAGACAGAAUGGCAAGUUCAAGCUUAGCCUGAGUAACAGGCACUUGGCAAGACACCUCCAUUUUAAAAGCAAAAAAAUUAAAGGUCUAGAAAUGUAGCUCAGUGAAUAUUUUCUGGGUUUGAUCUUAAUAACAACAGCAGCCCAAGAUGUUUGGUGAAUGCUCAGCAUAGGCUAGGCACCAGGCCAGCAAUUUCACAGGUACA
ensembl:lncRNA